rnacentral:rRNA from 1 species
AGUGAACGCUGGCGGCAGGCCUAACACAUGCAAGUCGAGCGGCAGCGCGGGGGCAACCCUGGCGGCGAGCGGCGGACGGGUGAGGAAUUCGUCGGAAUCUGCCUUUUUGUGGGGGAUAACGUAGGGAAACUUACGCUAAUACCGCAUACGUCCUACGGGAGAAAGUGGGGGACCGCAAGGCCUCACGCAGAAAGAUGAGCCGACGACCGAUUAGCUAGUUGGUGGGGUAAAGGCCCACCAAGGCGACGAUCGGUAGCUGGUCUGAGAGGAUGAUCAGCCACACUGGGACUGAGACACGGCCCAGACUCCUACGGGAGGCAGCAGUGGGGAAUAUUGGACAAUGGGCGCAAGCCUGAUCCAGCCAGGCCGCGUGUGUGAAGAAGGCCUUCGGGUUGUAAAGCACUUUUGUCCGGAAAGAAAUCCCUGGAGCUAAUACCUUCGGGGGAUGACGGUACCGGAAGAAUAAGCACCGGCUAACUUCGUG